rnacentral:rRNA from 1 species
UACGAAGGGGGCUAGCGUUGCUCGGAAUCACUGGGCGUAAAGGGUGCGUAGGCGGGUCUUUAAGUCAGGGGUGAAAUCCUGGAGCUCAACUCCAGAACUGCCUUUGAUACUGAGGAUCUUGAGUUCGGGAGAGGUGAGUGGAAUUGCGAGUGUAGAGGUGAAAUUCGUAGAUAUUCGCAAGAACACCAGUGGCGAAGGCGGCUCACUGGCCCGGAACUGACGCUGAGGCGCGAAAGCGGUGGGGAGCAAACAGGG